GUUUAACCUGAACAAAUGGCAUUAAUAUUAUCUAGAUUAACAUUGUAAAUAACAAAAGAAAUUCAGUUAAGAAAUAACGGAUUUGGCUGGAAAAUAAAAUACAAGUGGCAGUGAAUAUCAAUAAAUACUGAAGAAUCAGCACUUCACAAGCGUAUAUUUGCAUAAACAGCAGAUGUAUAUGUGUCUGAUUGAUUUAUAGCUGAUAUGGCAGGAUGUGCAGUUUUAUAACGCUGUAUUUGUCUCAAACUUCGACAGAUUUUCAAAAUACCUCCAGUUUAUUGACGACAAGUGGCCCGCCAAGACUGUCUUCGUCCUCCUCAACCUGCUGUUCUUGUAAACGUUGUUCAGCCAUAACAUUCACCGAAAUAUGCUCUUUUUCAAUUUUUUACAUUGCACAUUGCAUAGCAGUAGGAGUAGGGGUACCGACGAAAAAUCAAGAUAAUAUCGUGACAAAUCUUCAAAGUAAAUGAUUAUGAACUUCUUUCAAAACUCGCGCUCAUUUUCCUACAUCCUAAUUUUCACCAUUUAUUUUUACCAACACAACACAGCCUACAAUGCCUGACAAAAAUUAGGACUGCCAUUUUGAAAUUAAAUAUAUUUAUUAUUUUUUAAUUAAAACCUAUCUAUAUCUAUGUAUAAUAUAUUGUAUUUGAUUAAAACUAAAUUAAAUAUAUUUCCUUCACUAUCACUACU